UACGGAGGAUCCGAGCGUUAUCCGGAUUUAUUGGGUUUAAAGGGUGCGUAGGCGGCUUUUUAAGUCAGCGGUGAAAUUUUGCAGCUUAACUGUAACAGUGCCGUUGAUACUGGGGAGCUAGGAUUUGGUUGCUGUGGGUGGAAUGUGUGGUGUAGCGGUGAAAUGCUUAAAGAUCACACAGAAUAUCGAUUGCGAAGGCAGCUCACAAAGCCAAGAUUGACGCUGAGGCACGAAAGUGUGGGGAUCAAACAGGAUUAGAUA
rnacentral:rRNA from 1 species